rnacentral:rRNA from 1 species
UACCUGCAGCUCAAGUGGUGACCGCUAUUAUUGGGCCUAAAACGUUCGUAGCUGGUUUGGUAAAUGCCUGGGUAAAUCGUGUAGCUCAACUAUACGAAUUCCGGGUAGACUGUCAAACUUGAGACCGGGAGAAGCUAGAGGUACUCCUGGGGUAGAGGUGAAAUUCUGUAAUCCUGGGGGGACCACCAGUGGCGAAGGCGUCUAGCUAGAACGGGUUUGACGGUGAGGAACGAAGCCCUAGGGGCGCAAACCGGAUUAGAUACCCGGGUAGUCCAGGGUGUAAACGCUGCUUGCUUGAUGUUAGUUGGGCUCCGAGCCCAAUUAGUGUCGGAGAGAAGUUGUUAAGCAAGCUGCCUGGGAAGUACGAUCGCAAGAUUGAAACUUAAAGGAAUUGGCGGGGGAGCACAGCAACGGGUGGAGCGUGCGGUUU